rnacentral:rRNA from 1 species
GUAGGGAAGAAGCGAAAGUGACGGUACCUGCAGAAGAAGCGCCGGCUAACUACGUGCCAGCAGCCGCGGUAAUACGUAGGGCGCAAGCGUUAUCCGGAAUUAUUGGGCGUAAAGAGCUCGUAGGCGGUUUGUCGCGUCUGCCGUGAAAGUCCGGGGCUCAACUCCGGAUCUGCGGUGGGUACGGGCAGACUAGAGUGAUGUAGGGGAGACUGGAAUUCCUGGUGUAGCGGUGAAAUGCGCAGAUAUCAGGAGGAACACCGAUGGCGAAGGCAGGUCUCUGGGCAUUAACUGACGCUGAGGAGCGAAAGCAUGGGGAGCGAACAGGAUUAGAUACCCUGGUAGUCCAUGCCGUAAACGUUGGGCACUAGGUGUGGGGGACAUUCCACGUUUUCCGCGCCGUAGCUAACGCAUUAAGUGCCCCGCCUGGGGGGUACGGCCGCAAGGCUAAAACUCAAAGGAAUUGACGGGGGCCCGCACAAGCGGCGGAGCAUGCGGAUUAAUUCGAUGCAACGCGAAGAACCUUACCAAGGCUUGACAUGAACCGGUAACGCCUGGAGACAGGUGCCCCGCUUGCGGUCGGUUUACAGGUGGUGCAUGGUUGUCGUCAGCUCGUGUCGUGA